UACGUAGGGGGCGAGCGUUGUCCGGAAUCAUUGGGCGUAAAGCGCGUGUAGGCGGCCCGGUAAGUCCGCUGUGAAAGUCGGGGGCUCAACCCUCGAAUGCCGGUGGAUACUGUCGGGCUAGAGUGCGGAAGAGGCGAGUGGAAUUCCUGGUGUAGCGGUGAAAUGCGCAGAUAUCAGGAGGAACACCUAUUGCGAAGGCAGCUCGCUGGGACGUAACUGACGCUGAGACGCGAAAGCGUGGGGAGCAAACAGG
rnacentral:rRNA from 1 species